GACGAACGCUGGCGGCGUGCCUAACACAUGCAAGUCGAGCGAUGAAAUCCCUUCGGGGAUGGAUUAGCGGCGGUCGGGUGAGUAACACGUGGGUAACCUGCCUCAAAGUGGGGGAUAGCCUUCCGAAAGGAAGAUUAAUACCGCAUAAUAUUAGAUUUUCGCAUGAAUAACUAAUUAAAGAAGUAAUUCGCUUUGAGAUGGACCCGCGGCGCAUUAGCUAGUUGGUGAGGUAAUGGCUCACCAAGGCGACGAUGCGUAGCCGACCUGAGAGGGUGAUCGGCCACAUUGGAACUGAGACACGGUCCAGACUCCUACGGGAGGCAGCAGUGGGGAAUAUUGCACAAUGGGGGAAACCCUGAUGCAGCAACGCCGCGUGAGUGAUGAAGGUCUUCGGAUUGUAAAGCUCUGUCUUUUGGGACGAUAAUGACGGUACCAAAGGAGGAAGCCACGGCUAACUACGUGCCAGCAGCCGCCGUAACAC
rnacentral:rRNA from 1 species